rnacentral:tRNA from 1 species
UUAACUCAGCGGUUAGAGUGUUGCUUUCAUACGGCGGGAGUCAUUGGUUCAAAUCCAAU